CCAAGUUACCACAUCUUCCCAAAUCAGGUCUCUGUUAAACACUCAUGUGCAGGACCAAUCUGCAAGGAGUCAAAACUCUGGAACCAGCCAGAAACACGAAUAAUGAACACGGACUCUCCAGGUCUUCCUGGUGGAUAUCCUGGCAGCUAAAUCUUACAGUCUGGUAGCUUCAGGUAGACUUCCUUCUUUUUUCAUCACACAUGAAAAAAUCAUUCUGCUAUGCUUGAACGACUUGGAGACUCAAAGAGAGAGAAAAACGUACCGCUUGGACUGUACUGCCUAUAUGGACCAAAGGGACGUUUCAGGGUGAAUUGUAUUAUCUAGAUUGUCUCCUGCUUUUCGUCUGUAAAAAGAAUCUUUGCUGUAGAAGGUCUGUUUGCCAGUAUUUCUACAAAGGAUACUACUGGGAAUACUGAGAAUACUGUUUCUAGAAUAAUUUUGCAGGAUACGUGUGGCAGAGACUGCAGGGAAAAUCAGACGCAUUCAGGGACUGCAUGACGUUCCUGACAUUAAGUAAGAGACGUGGUAAAUCAGGACUGCACAUUAAUAAACUACCUUAUUAGCAUAAAUCAAGGUUUGAUUGGAAAAGCAGGGGGAAAGGACCUUUAAAUAAUCCUGAAGAUGUUGUUCAGAGUUUCUGUGUGAGUUGGCUUCAAAAAUCUGGAUUUCAGCAUUUUAUUAAGCUUUUAACUGUGUACAAACGGGGAAUUCUCAUCAAAAGAGCCUUUCUCACUUUUCAUAAAUGGAAAACAAGCUCCUAAUAUUUACGCAGACUUUGCAUAAAUCCAUAAAUCAUCCAUUCAUAUGGCACAGGAAAACACACACAGACGCAGACACACACUCAAAAACACGAAAUAAAACCUCCUAUGUACCUAAGGAUCCGGACCUGAAUUCGGGUCCUGAAACGGUUUCGUCUUGCGAGUCGAUCUCUGCCAAAGUCAUAAACCCGAUAGCGAUAUGGUUCCAGUCUGACGAUCCAGCGGGUUCUACCAUCAAGCAAAGUGUCUUCAGCUCCAGCUGACCCCGAGCUACACUGGCGACACGGAUGAGACCGGAAGGUUCCAGAAUGCCAAGACAGGAUUCCAGGUGACAUUUUGACACGCUGUUUACAACACAAAACAGCUCGCUAGUGAUGCUAAAAAGAGCUGACCUAUUCAGCAGAGGCUAAUAUGCAGGGGGGGUCGGGGGAGGUCAGUCUGGAUCAGGCCGCUGCUUAAAUGCUUUAUAGACGGUUUUGGUCUCUCCCCCCCCCCCAGACACUGCAAACAAGGAAGCAUGCCAUGGAAACAUCUGCUUCCGAUGAUACACAGUGGAAAAUAAGUCAGAACACGUACUUUGUUCAUAAAGCACAGUUCUGAUGCUGCUGUAUGAACUUGCACAAUCAGAACUGCACGCAGCCAGCCUGUCUGCGCAUAGCCAGCUUGUCUGCGCAGUGAGAAACUCAUUUGACAUUAUGGCUCGUCAAUCAAUCGUUGUUAAAGCAUAAAAAUGCAAAAACCCUUUUGUUGCUAUGGCUCACAGGUGGCUCUGUCUCCUUGACAUCACUGGCAGGACCCACAAAUAACGCAUGCGUUAACCAUUUACUCUCUGGCUCUUAGCGCUGUUUGGCUAGACCAGGGGUGGCGAACGGAACAUGAUCCAUGGAGAGCCAGUGCGGGUUUUUGGGAUGACCUCUCAAUCAGCCAAUAACAGUGGGUCCCCCAGACUAGAGUCGAGAACAACUGUUUUAUUAUUGGCUGAUUGAGUCGUCAUCCCAAAAUACCGCACCAGCUCUCCAUGGAUCAGGUUCGCCACCCCUGGGCUAGAUGGUGUCUAAAGCCUUCCCACCAAAGACUAAUAAUGCUUGCUGAGCUCAGAUUGGGUGCAAUUGUUCACUGGCAGAACACUUAGGGUUGAUCUGUUAAUUAGGGUAAAAGGCUCCCAGGUUGGGCUUUGAUAUGUUUUUAUUAGGGGAAAGAUGUAUCAAUAUUAGUUAUUCAUCUACAUGGCAAUGGUGGUCCAUAAACUCUGUCUCCGCUGGUGCCCCAUCCAAUCAGAAUGCCUCUUUUCCUCAUGUGGGUUCCUGGUGUUGCCAUUGUGAGAUCAUCAGUGAUCACAUGACUUGGUUUUUUAUAAUCAAAGGGGGUGACACUGGAGCUAGCUGGGUAUCUGUCCCUUAUUUCACCCCUUGUAGAAUUUUAGAAAUUCCAUGACAUUUGAAUUCCAUCAUCGUCUUUGCACAAUAAGGUUUGGAUAUUGCAGGAAGACAAGAUUUAAGUGUAAGGUGUCUAUGUGCCACAUCCUCUCUGGAGCCCACGCCGGCUUACACCGGCGCUCGCUCCCGUCACUUUCGCACCGAGCAGAGGCUUGUAAACCAACGGAAGACCCCAAACACAGGGGGGCAUCACUGAAGAUAAUUCAAAGGUAGGUGGUAGCUAACCUUUCAUGCAGUCAUACCGUCCACCCCUGGGCUAAUUUUCUCCGCAAGAAUGAAAAAUACCCAAAACACUGCAAAAUAUCCGAAAAACUGCGGUAUUCCCUGUUACCGUAACACUGCCCAAGCCUACCCAAAGGGUCAUGCCAGACCGAUUCCCAUUAGCGGUCACAGUUAGCAUUGCUAGCCCGCCAAAGGAAGCACAGAUGACGAUGUUAGCAUUAUUACACCUGCCUAAAGAAUGGAGGAUCACAACAGCGUAGAAAUUACACAAAACCACCACAGACUAUACUCUGCUGGUGUUAAGGAGUUAAUAACGUCAGUGGGGGAAAUGGCCCUGAUGUGGCUCUACAUUCACCUCCAAGUCGGGUUCCAGGAGCAUUUCUGCGGCCGACAGCGGCUUCUGAAUGAAGCCCAUAAUAAUCAGAUGGGAGGAAGGACUGGCAGAGUGUUAUUUCUACCAAUAGUGAAUUUUGUAUAAUAACCAGUCUUAGCGCAGAGGAAAUCUGAUUAGCAAUUCCCCGGUAUGGGUAUUAUCAUGCUAAUCUGGAUAUAUAAAAGAUCUCUGUUGAAUACAGAAUACAAUACUGGUGGGCAAAUCAGGAUCCAGUUAACUCAAUAAAGGCAGUAAAGCAGGCUCUGUCAAGCAGACAUUUUGUUUUCAGCAACAUAUAUAUAUAUAUAUAUAUAUAUAUAUACACACACACACACACACACACAUAUAUACAAAAGGAUAAUUAACCCCUGCCCUUGUGAAAUGUCUUUGGAUGUAUGUCUCUCCUCUAAUCCAGUGUUUCGCAAACUGCUUUUCAGGGACCCUGAGACAGCCCAUGUUUUUGCUCCCUCCCAGCUCCCUACCGGAAGCAAAAAAACAUGGACUGUCUGCAGGUCCCCAAGGAUCAGAUUGGGAAACACUACUCUAAUCCAUAUAUUGAUCCUUGGUUUUGUUUCUUGCAGUGAGCUGGACAGGUUCAACGAUGGCACCGAGCGUUCCAUGAAACUUAACACCAUUCUACUGAUGAACCUAUUCAUCGUCCCUGCAAACAGCUCGUGUGUCAAGAUGGACCAGUUCCCAAGGCGAUGCCUCCUGACUGGACUCAAUUCUUCAGAAAUACAUCUAAAAAUCAGUAAAAUCACGAGUUGGUUUAUAUGAAAGUGUAUUAAAGGGUAAUAAAAAUAGAAAGCAUGUGUACUGGCAGGCUACAGGUUUGCCACAGAGCUACUAUCAGAAGUGAAGUAGUGACAAAAUACAAGCUCCAGAAAACAGC